rnacentral:rRNA from 1 species
AACGAACGCUGGCGGCAGGCCUAACACACGCAAGUCGAACGCCCUGGCAACAUGGAGUGGCAGACGGGUGAGUAACGCGUGGGAACGUGCCCUUCGGUUCGGAAUAACUCAGGGAAACUUGAGCUAAUACCGGAUACGUGCGAGAGCAGAAAGAUUUAUCGCCGAAGGAUCGGCCCGCGUCCGAUUAGCUAGUUGGUGAGGUAACGGCUCACCAAGGCGACGAUCGGUAGCUGGUCUGAGAGGAUGAUCAGCCACACUGGGACUGAGACACGGCCCAGACUCCUACGGGAGGCAGCAGUGGGGAAUAUUGGACAAUGGGCGCAAGCCUGAUCCAGCCAUGCCGCGUGAGUGAUGAAGGCCCUAGGGUUGUAAAGCUCUUUCGCCAGGGACGAUAAUGACGGUACCUGGAUAAGAAGCCCCGGCUAACUUCGUGCCAGCAGCCGCCGCAG